rnacentral:rRNA from 1 species
AUUGAACGCUGGCGGCGUGCCUAACACAUGCAAGUCGAGCGGUAACAGGUGUAGCAAUACAUGCUGACGAGCGGCGGACGGGUGAGUAACGCUUGGGAAUCUGCCUAUUAGUGGGGGACAACCCGGGGAAACUCGGGCUAAUACCGCAUACGCUCUACGGAGGAAAGCCGGGGACCGCAAGGCCUGGCGCUAAUAGAUGAGCCCAAGUCGGAUUAGCUAGUUGGUAGGGUAAUGGCCUACCAAGGCGACGAUCCGUAACUGGUCUGAGAGGACGACCAGUCACACCGGAACUGAGACACGGUCCGGACUCCUACGGGAGGCAGCAGUGGGGAAUAUUGGACAAUGGGCGAAAGCCUGAUCCAGCGACGCCGCGUGGGUGAAGAAGGCCUGCGGGUUGUAAAGCCCUUUCAGUGGGGAAGAAAAGUCUCGACCUAAUACGUCGGGACCUUGACGUAACCCACUAAAGAAGCACCGGCUAACUCUGUGCCAGCAGCCGCCGUAAU